CCGGCGACCGGCGCACGGGUGAGUAACGCGUAUCCAACCUGGGCCCACAGUAGGGGAUAGCCCGGCGAAAGUUCGGAUUUAAUACCCCUUAUGUUUUCCUUUGAUGGCAUCUGACGAGGAACAAAGGUUUUACCGCUAUGGGAUGGGGAUGCGUCUGAUUAGGUAGUCGGCGGGGUAACGGCCCACCGAGCCAUCGAUCAGUAGGGGUUCUGAGAGGAAGGUCCCCCACAUUGGUACUGAGACACGGACCAAACUCCUACGGGAGGCAGCAGUGAGGAAUAUUGGUCAAUGGGCGAGAGCCUGAACCAGCCAAGUAGCGUGCAGGAUGACUGCCCUAUGGGUUGUAAACUGCUUUUAUAGGGGAAUAAACGUAGACGGUACGUGUGCCUUUUUGUAUGUACCCUAUGAAUAAGGACCGGCUAAUUCCGUGCC
rnacentral:rRNA from 1 species